rnacentral:rRNA from 1 species
GACGAACGCUGGCGGCGUGCUUAACACAUGCAAGUCGAACGCUGAAGCUCAGCUUUUGUUGGGUGGAUGAGUGGCGAACGGGUGAGUAACACGUGAGUAACCUGCCUCCUUCUUUGGGAUAACGCCCGGAAACGGGUGCUAAUACUGGAUAUUCACUGGUCUUCGCAUGGGGGCUGGGGGAAAGGGGGUUUCUGGUGGGGGAUGGGCUCGCGGCCUAUCAGCUUGUUGGUGGGGUGAUGGCCUACCAAGGCUUUGACGGGUAGCCGGCCGGAGGGGGUGACCGAUCACAUUGGGGCUGAGGUCCGCCCCGGGCGCCAACGGGAGGCAGCAGUGGGGAAAAGUGCACAAUGGGCUCAAGCCUGAUGCAGCGACGCCGCGAGGGGGAUGGAGGCCUUCGGGUUGUGAACCUCUUUCGCUCAUGGUCGAGCCGCAACAAUGGUUGUGGUGAGGGUCGUGAGUAAAGAAGCGCCGGCUAUCUACG